GCGCCAUUAGCUCAUGUGGAUAGAGCGUCCGGUUCCGAACCGGGAGGUAGAAGGUUCGAGUCCUUUAUGGCGUA
rnacentral:tRNA from 1 species